rnacentral:lncRNA from 1 species
GGGGCUUCACCCCCCGCCCGGCCCGGCCUCCCCGCCCUCCCCUGGGGAUGGCCGGAGAGCGCCAUGCCCCGACAGGGCCCCGGCCGCUGCAGGCCCCCGGAGGAUGAGGCGGAUGGGGGGUCCCCGCCUGCCUUCCCCGGUUCCCUUUCCCCGGCCAGGGCCUAGGGGAGGGAACCAGCCGCUCCGGAGGUAGCGGCGGCGCCGUUUCUUACCUGAGGGCUGCGCUGGGGGUGGCGAGGCCCGGGCGGGCAUGGCGGCAGGCGGGGAGGGAAGGGGGGGGAAGGGAGGGAAGGGGAAGAGGGGACGCGGUCGGUUAUCUGAGGCCUCCCGCGGCAACCGCCAUGGAGGGGGAACCCAUGUCACGGCGACAGGAACCGCGUCGCUGCCGGCCCGGCCCCCUCCCGGCGGCCACCGCCUCCUGCCCCGCCACCGCCCACUUGGCCUCCCAGAAGCCACCGCACACGCCACCGCCCCCGGCGCCCCUACGCUCCGCAGCGGCAGCCAGGCGGGGCGGGCACGUCAAUAAAUAAAUAAGCAAGCGACGAACGCCGCUAGGGUGAUACCUAUCCUCCUCACCGGGUGAGGUAGGCGGUGGUAGAACGGCGCUGCCGCCAUCUUAAGUGCUGGCAAGCCCUCUCUUCCCUCUCCCUCCCUAUGGCGGCCAUCUUGGGCUAGGCGUGAGGCGAUGCCGCGGCCGCCAUGUUGGGCUCGGGAGGAAGAGGGCAGUGCCGGGUUGCGGUGUUUUCCGUGCCCUGGCGUAGGCAGUAUGAGGGGGAAAGUUCCUUCAACUUCAGAGUCUGCAACUCACUUAGCCCCAGGUGGAAUCCCUGAGGGCCUGUCUGCAUCGCGCUGAGAUCUUGUCUGCCGGAGUUACCACCUUCAAAGAGCAGCUUGGUACAAAUUUGUUUCUGGGGAAAAAAGACAUUCGAAUGUGCCUCGGCUUCAUAGGGAAGUGAAUGGCAAAAUGUCCAUUAAACAGAAGUGAAAGUAGGAUCCAGUUCCAGGCUUUAAAAUGGAAAUGGCUGAGGUUUUUCUGGGUUAAUGACAACUUCUGUCUCCAAUGCGACUGCCACGAAAGGAAAGAGGUUCCUUUUGCAGUGUCUCAAGGAAGCCCUGCUCUGCGAACCUGGAGUCAGCGUAGCUCUGUUUCACUGUCGCUUCUGACUGCUGAGGGGGACUUCCAGGUCUUCUUCUGCCUGUUGGGAAGAGAGCUGCUGAAAAACAUCUCCUUCUCAGGGUCUUUCACUGAACGACCCCCCCUCCUCCCCACCCCCUGCAUCACAGCCCUGAUCUAG